GACGAACGCUGGCGGCGUGCUUAACACAUGCAAGUCGAACGGUGAAGCGCCUUCCUUUUUGGUGGGUGUGGAUGAGCGGCGAACGGGUGAGUAACACGUGAGUAACCUGCCCCCUUCUUCUGGAUAACCGCAUGAAAGUGUGGCUAAUACGGGAUAUUCUGGGUCUGUCGCAUGAUGGGUCUGGGAAAGAUAUUGUUUCGGUGGGGGAUGGGCUCGCGGCCUAUCAGCUUGUUGGUGGGGUGAUGGCCUACCAAGGCGGUGACGGGUAGCCGGCCUGAGAGGGUGGACGGUCACACUGGGACUGAGACACGGCCCAGACUCCUACGGGAGGCAGCAGUGGGGAAUAUUGCACAAUGGGCGCAAGCCUGAUGCAGCGACGCCGCGUGAGGGAUGGAGGCCUGCGGGUUGUGAACCUCUUUCGCCAGUGAAGCAGGCCUGCCUCGUUUGUGGGUGGGUUGACGGUAGCUGGAUAAGAAGCGCCGGCUAACUACGUG
rnacentral:rRNA from 1 species